rnacentral:rRNA from 1 species
UACGUAGGGUGCAAGCGUUAAUCGGAAUUACUGGGCGUAAAGCGUGCGCAGGCGGUUGUGUAAGACAGAUGUGAAAUCCCCGGGCUCAACCUGGGAAUUGCGAUGGAGACUGCAAGGCUAGAAUCUGGCAGAGGGGGGUAGAAUUCCACGUGUAGCAGUGAAAUGCGUAGAGAUGUGGAGGAACACCGAUGGCGAAGGCAGCCCCCUGGGUCAAGAUUGACGCUCAUGCACGAAAGCGUGGGGAGCAAACAGG